rnacentral:rRNA from 1 species
UACGAAGGGUGCAAGCGUUAAUCGGAAUUACUGGGCGUAAAGGGUGCGUAGGCGGUUGUUUAAGUCUGUCGUGAAAUCCCCGGGCUCAACCUGGGAAUGGCGAUGGAAACUGGGCAGCUAGAGUGUGUCAGAGGAUGGUGGAAUUCCCGGUGUAGUGGUGAAAUGCGUAGAUAUCGGGAGGAACACCAGUGGCGAAGGCGACUACCUGGCCUGUUCUUGACGCCGAGGCGCGAAAGCUAGGGGAGCAAACGGG